rnacentral:lncRNA from 13 species
AAUUUGUGUGUACAAGCGGGUGCAUACAAUACAGUACACUAGUCAUUUCAAUUUGGUUGAAAAAUAUCAAGCCCAGCCAUUCAUUCCUCAAGUAGCAACAGUGUAGCAAGGAAUAAUUUGGAUAGGAAAUGAGUUAUCUACAGUAGGUUAGCUCAGUUCAAUACCUAAGCUAAAGAGCGAGCUAGCUUAGCUAUGUUGAGUCAUUGUAACACCAAUAGCCUAAUAAUAACUUGGCUGACCAGCUACUUAGCCAAAGUUAGCCGCUAGCUAGCCAGCUUUGUCAGCAAAGGAAAACAAGCCAGCUAUUAAGGUUCAGCUUGAUAAACCAAAAGCAAACAUAAUGAAUGAAGAAAUACUAUUUGAAGGACUGAUUUCACAGACUGGUCAUGCUGAUGGUGGGAUUCAGUGUAGCUGUUGAGACAACUCCGAACAUCGCAAGAAGACCGUGUCGCAGUCUGAGUGACGAAAGAGCCACUAACUUUCAGCUGUCCCAUGAACAACAACUCAGAAAGAAACUUCAAUUCUUGUCUAAUUACCGUAGCGUUGACGUGACUCGAUUGCUCAAACUCCACGACUAUAGUAAUCCAGCUACGUGUCCGUUCAUAUUACAGUUACAAAUAGAUGUAAACAACUUUUUCCUAUACAUCUCUCCUCUUGUCUUGUCUUUCAACCAACCUCCCUAUGCGUUGUCCGCUGUUGCUUCUCCCUCUAUUCUAAACUGAGAGAUGAUCCUUGGGAUGUGUGUUCCCAUUGGACAAUGGUUGUCAUGUGGGUCGGGGUGUUCCUUCCUUCUUAUAGAAGUUUGCGAGAUAGGUCAAAAAAAUUAAUUCAUCUUCAACCUAGGAAGUUUGGCCUGUGAAGUUUUCAUAAAACUACUCUCAUUACAUCUCUAAGUAAUCGUAUACCAUAUCUUCAUACCACUUUUUGAUAUUAGGUAGUAAUGCGAUUCUUGAUUAGCAACUUGAAAUUAGCAACUUGUAUCAUUUUGAUAUCGUUUGCUGAGACGCUAGUUGAUGUCGUCAUCACGCAGCAGGCACGUAAUGAUAAAAUCGUCAACAUCCGAUUCAAGAGCGGGCAUGGCUUUUUGCAUUGUUUGGUGGAGGAGUCUGGUGACAGCUCUGACGACGAGCCAUUGGUUAAGAUGAUCAGGAAGCCUCUAACAGACUGCCAGCUGAGCGAGAGAGUGAAGGCACUGCUGAAAUACACAGACAUGGCAGAUGUGACAAUGAAGCAAAUCUACAAUAGACUGUUUGAGAUGUGCCCCCGGUAUGACCUGUCUAACAAGAAGGACAUCAUCAAGCAGACAGUGAAAGAGGAGAUUUCUUUACUACCCAGGGUUUUAAUCAAGCCAUAUUCAUAGAUUUGACAGAUAACAUUAUAAUCAAUGAUCUCAGGAAAACAUAGUUGAUAUCAUGACAAAGACUCCUGUAUAUGCCUUUCCAUUUAUAUUUUAUACAUACAUGUUCAGACUGUUUAAAUACUAUACCAUUUCAUACAACUUAUUUGUUUUACUUGCCUAAGUUUUGUAAAUAAAGUAUUUAUUGUACUGUACUGAUUUGGUUUAUGGUGCUCCUCUCUUCGGUACAGUGUACACACAUUGCAUUAUUUAUAAGCACUACCCAAAUAAGAUUUUGAGAAAUCCCCACAGAGUGAAUUUUCAUUGUGAUCCACAGAAUGUUAGAGAUUUUUUCUUGAUCCACUGUAGACAACACCUUUCAAUUUGGAUUUGUUGUGGAUACGUACAGCAGAUGAGACCAGGCAAUUAGCUUGCCCAGCAGCCCUGACCUCAGGCCCCACUGCUUGGAGUAAUGCUCCUUUGCUCUCCCUUCAUCUCCCC